rnacentral:lncRNA from 1 species
AGUGUUCUGUGCACGCUGGGGGUUUUGCUUUGAAAUGGUGGUGCUGUGUGCUGUUCAUUCUUCAUACAGUCAGGGUUCCUACUUCUGGGCAGGGAAUUCAGGUGCCAGAGAUAGAUAAAUACUUCAGCUUAAAAAAGGGAAAGAAGAGGAGGAGGAGGAGGAAGAGGAGAAGGAGGAGGAGGAAGCAGAGAAGGAGGAGGAGGAGGAGAAAAGGAUUUGAAGAAAUUGAAUCAGUUCUGGAACAGCAGACACAGCAGUUCUGAAAUCAAAGUGCCUAAAAGGAGUCCACCCGGAUAUGUGGAAGCAAGAGGGAGUUAAUGACAAUGGAUUCACAAUGCUGAAGCUCGAAAAUUCUGGGAAUUUGAGGCCCCAAGACACCCCAUAGGUGGGGUACAGAG